rnacentral:rRNA from 1 species
AUGAGGGGUAGCCGCAUGAUCAUUGUUGGUCUUGUUCUUCUGGUGUUAGCCUCAGGUACGGCGACGGGAUCGACGAUGGGAGGAUCUCUAACCGGAACAAAUUGCUUAGUCAAAACCCCUAUGCCUUGUGAUGAAAUCAAGAGAUGCAUCGAUACUUGCAACUCCUUGUCUCCUGUGCACGGCAAACCUGAAAUUAGUUGCGUUGACAAAGAGUGUAGAUGCACAUUUUGUUGA